UACAGAGGGUGCUAGCGUUGUUCGGAAUUACUGGGCGUAAAGGGUUCGUAGGUGGCCAACUAAGUCAGACGUGAAAUCCCUCAGCUCAACUGGGGAACUGCGUCUGAUACUGGUCGGCUUGAGUUCGGGAGAGGGAUGCGGAAUUCCAGGUGUAGCGGUGAAAUGCGUAGAUAUCUGGAGGAACACCGGUGGCGAAGGCGGCAUCCUGGACCGACACUGACGCUGAGGAGCGAAAGCCAGGGGAGCAAACGGG
rnacentral:rRNA from 1 species